GACGAACGCUGGCGGCGUGCUUAACACAUGCGAGUCGAACGGAAAGGCCCUGCUUUUGUGGGGUGCUCGAGUGGCGAACGGGUGAGUAACACGUGAGUAACCUGCCCUUGACUUUGGGAUAACUUCAGGAAACUGGGGCUAAUACCGGAUAGGAGCUCCUGCUGCAUGGUGGGGGUUGGAAAGUUUCGGCGGUUGGGGAUGGACUCGCGGCUUAUCAGCUUGUUGGUGGGGUAGUGGCUUACCAAGGCUUUGACGGGUAGCCGGCCUGCGAGGGUGACCGGCCACAUUGGGACUGAGAGACGGCCCAGACUCCUACGGGAGGCAGCAGUGGGGAAUAUUGCACUAUGGGCGGAAGCCUGAUGCAGCAACGCCGCGUGCGGGAUGACGGCCUUCGGGUUGUAAACCGCUUUCGCCUGUGACGAAGCGUGAGUGACGGUAAUGGGUAAAGAAGCACCGGCUAACUACGUG
rnacentral:rRNA from 1 species